CUUUUAUAGACAUCAAUAAGUUUGUCAGAAAAGCCACUUUGAAAAGAUUUUUUGCACAUAAAGACACAGAAAUCCCUAACUCACAAUCUGUAGCUAUCUCAUCAUCAGGUUCACAAAAAAUAAUUUCUACCUCUUUAAAGAAAACUUCGACUUUCUUUCCCUCUAGCUUUAAAUCAGGUCCUUUAGAAGUUUUCGAAAAAUUAGUUAAAG